UAGAAAAGGAGCCAGCUAGCGUGGCAGAGCCUGGACAAAAUGCAAAAGGCUUAAGCCCUUUACUCAGAGGUUCAAAUC
rnacentral:tRNA from 1 species